GUCUCCAUGGCGCAAUCGUUUAGCGCGUUCGGCUGUUAACCGAAAGGUUGAUGGUGCAAGUCCAUCUGGGGACG
rnacentral:tRNA from 1 species